CACGGGGGGAGCAAGCGUUGUUCGGAAUCAUUGGGCGUAAAGGGCGCGUAGGCGGCCGUCCAAGUCGGGUGUGAAAUCCCUCGGCUCAACCGAGGAACUGCACUCGAUACUGGUCGGCUAGAGUCCGGGAGGGGAUGGUGGAAUUCCCAGUGUAGCGGUGAAAUGCGUAGAUAUUGGGAAGAACACCUGAGGCGAAGGCGGGUUGCUGGGCUGACACUGACGCUGAGGCGCGAAAGCCAGGGGAGCAAACGGG
rnacentral:rRNA from 1 species